rnacentral:rRNA from 1 species
GAUUAGAUACCCCACUAUGCUUAGCCCUAAACCCAGAUAUUUAACACACAAAAAUAUCCGCCAGAGAACUACGAGCAUAACGCUUAAAACUCUAAGGACUUGGCGGUGCCUUAAACCCCCCUAGAGGAGCCUGUUCUAUAAUCGAUAAUCCACGAUCCACCUCACCAUCUCUUGCCAGUACCGCCUAUAUACCGCCGUCACUAGCCUACCCUAUGAAGGAUAUAAAAGUAAGCAAAACAGCCAACAAUAGCUAAUAAGUCAGGUCAAGGUGUAGCUAACUGAGAUGGAAGAAAUGGGCUACAUUUUCUAAACUAGAAAUUAUCUCACGGAAAGAACCAUGAAACAAGUUCUACAAGCAGGAUUUAGCAGUAAACAAGGAUUAGAAUGCCCAAUUUAAGCCGGUCCUAAGGCACGCACACACCGCC